UACGUAGGGGGCAAGCGUUGUCCGGAAUUAUUGGGCGUAAAGAGCGUGUAGGCGGCCAGAUAAGUCAGCUGUGAAAUCUCGAGGCUCAACUUCGAGCUGUCGGUUGAAACUAUCUGGCUAGAGUCCGGAAGAGGAGAAUGGAAUUCCUGGUGUAGCGGUGAAAUGCGCAGAUAUCAGGAAGAACACCCGUGGCUAAGGCGGUUCUCUGGGACGGUACUGACGCUGAGACGCGAAAGCGUGGGGAGCGAACAGG
rnacentral:rRNA from 1 species